AUUGAACGCUGGCGGCAGGCCUAACACAUGCAAGUCGAGCGGUAACACAGAGAGCUUGCUCUCGGGUGACGAGCGGCGGACGGGUGAGUAAUGUCUGGGAAACUGCCUGAUGGAGGGGGAUAACUACUGGAAACGGUAGCUAAUACCGCAUAACGUCGCAAGACCAAAGUGGGGGACCUUCGGGCCUCAUGCCAUCAGAUGUGCCCAGAUGGGAUUAGCUAGUAGGUGGGGUAAUGGCUCACCUAGGCGACGAUCCCUAGCUGGUCUGAGAGGAUGACCAGCCACACUGGAACUGAGACACGGUCCAGACUCCUACGGGAGGCAGCAGUGGGGAAUAUUGCACAAUGGGCGCAAGCCUGAUGCAGCCAUGCCGCGUGUAUGAAGAAGGCCUUCGGGUUGUAAAGUACUUUCAGCGAGGAGGAAGGCGUUAAGGUUAAUAACCUUGGCGAUUGACGUUACUCGCAGAAGAAGCACCGGCUAACUCCGUGCCAGCAGCCGCGGUAAUACGGAGGGUGCAAGCGUUAAUCGGAAUUACUGGGCGUAAAGCGCACGCAGGCGGUCUGUCAAGUCGGAUGUGAAAUCCCCGGGCUCAACCUGGGAACUGCAUUCAAAACUGGCAGGCUAGAUCUUGUAGAGGGGGUAGAAUUCCAGGUGUAGCGGUGAAAUGCGUAGAAGAUCUGGAAGAAUACCCGGUGGCGAAGGCGGCCCCCUGGACAA
rnacentral:rRNA from 1 species